rnacentral:rRNA from 1 species
UGGGGAAUAUUGCACAAUGGGCGCAAGCCUGAUGCAGCCAUGCCGCGUGUGUGAAGAAGGCCUUCGGGUUGUAAAGCACUUUCAGCGGGGAGGAAGGCGGUGAGGUUAAUAACCUCAUCGAUUGACGUUACCCGCAGAAGAAGCACCGGCUAACUCCGUGCCAGCAGCCGCGGUAAUACGGAGGGUGCAAGCGUUAUUCGGAAUUACUGGGCGUAAGGCGCACGCAGGCGGUCUGUCAAGUCGGAUGUGAAAUCCCCGGGCUCAACCUGGGAACUGCAUUCGAAACUGGCAGGCUAGAGUCUUGGAGAGGGGGAUAGAAUUCCAGGUGUAGCGGUGAAAGGCGUAGAGAUCUGGAGGAAUACCGGUGGCGAAGGCGGCCCCCUGGACAAAGACUGACGCUCAGGUGCGAAAGCGUGGGGAGCAAACAGG